rnacentral:rRNA from 1 species
UACAGAGGUCUCGAGCGUUAGGCGGAAUCACUGGGCUUAAAGCGUGUGUAGGCGGGUCGUUAAGUGCCUUGUGAAAUCCCAUGGCUCAACCAUGGAACUGCUGGGCAUACUGGCGAUCUUGUGCAACCUAGGGGCGAGCGGAACAGAUGGUGGAGCGGUGAAAUGCGUAGAUAUCCUCUGGAACGCCAAUGGUGAAAACAGCUCGCUGGGGGUUUGCAGACGCUGAGACACGAAAGCCAGGGGAGCGAACGGG